rnacentral:misc_RNA from 1 species
ACGAAUGCCUUCUCUAGUUGACUUGCAAGGAACAUCAAUUAAAGAUGGUGUCAGCUGGGAAGCAGUGCUAGUGAAUAGGGCUGCUGAUGCUAACUUGUUGAAACUUGAACAGAAGGCACUAGAGAUGGCGGUCAAGUCAAGGUCUGAAUCUCUAGUUUUCACAGAUAGAGAUUUUGUGCAAAAGCUUGCUAUUUUAGUUUCUGAUUACAUGGGUGGGUCAGUUGCGGAUCCUGACAACAUGACAAGAGCAUGGCGGAGUCUUAGCUACAGUUUGAAAGCAACACUUGGCAGCAUGGUUUUACCACUUGGUUCUCUUACAAUUGGAUUGGCUCGCCAUCGUGCAUUAAUGUUUAAGGUUUUGGCUGACAGCAUAGGCAUACCAUGCCGGCUGGUAAAAGGUCAUCAAUACACUGGUUCUGAUGAUGUGGCCAUGAAUUUUGUAAAGAU